GUCCCUGUAGCUCAAUGGGAUAGAGCAACUGCCUUCUAAGCAGUAGGUUCCGAGUUCAAGUCUCGGCAGGGACGCUA
rnacentral:tRNA from 1 species